CAAUAACCCACGCAAAAAACUCUUUUUUCUCUCUCUUGAUUCUAGAUCUUCCAGAAUCUGCACCUAUUCCAGCUGUAGAUGUGUGCUCCUCCCAACAUGAUCUUCCAGAAUCUGCACCUAUUCCAGCUGUAGAUGUGUGCUCCUCCCAACAUGGUUGUCCACUGACCUGUCUCUGGCAGCCCUCCACGAUGAUAAGCUUCUGCUGAGGUGACGUGCGAGCAAACACAAUCUCGGUGUGGUUCUUCAACAGGUCGUCUAGGUACUCAGAGCUCAUGUGCUUGAGGUCAGAGCCGUGAACCACGCAAGCCUUGGCGUCCCUGUGGGACAACACAGUCAAGGCUGAGCGACCAGAUAAUAUGUUUUUCUUUUUUUUUGUACUGUCCACCUUUGACACACACACCUGGGAUUAACUUGGCUGAGAGGGAUGUUGAGUCUUUCAGCAAUGUCCUCUACCGUCUCGUUGCCCUCUGAGAUGAUGCCCACUCCCUUAGCGAUGGCCUUGGCCGUUAUCGGGUGGUCGCCUGUCACCAUGAUCACCUGAACACAGAAGCCCAUCCGUCACAUCACAUCAACACAUCAGUUGUAUCUUGUAUGUGUAUCAGCCGUGACAAGCGAGCGUGAGCUACAACAACAAUGCCUUCUGGGCCCAUCAGUCAGCCAAAUGUGUUGCGGUAGUUACAGGAGACAAGAAUGGAGCUGUUAGCUGGUGUAGGUGAAGAAUGAUUGAGCGGCAGGAAAGCAAAGAGCUCCUGAAACACUUCUGAUGAUU